CAUUUUUGAAAGAGAAACAAACCAACAGGCACACGAAUUAAAAUCUGAAGCAGUGAAGCUUAAAACACGAAACUCAGCCGUGAGAACGUGAAAUCGAGUUAUUCCAAACAUGAAAAAGAUUUAAGACAAUAAAAUAGGCAUGCAAUCUGAAAGAUAAUUGAUGACUGCGUUAUAAGCGAUAGCUGAUAACGGAUGAAAAAUCUAAAUACGCCUACCAGUCACAUUUAUUAACUAUUAUGUUAGUUACACAUGAUCGCUGCGCGUUUUUUUAGACAAUCAGAAAAAGAAAAUUGAAAAAUUAAACUUACGUAGGUAGCACGCCGAGCUAGUCUUAAACGGUUAAUCGCGGACGGUCACAUAAUCGAAAACCACGAAACGUGGGCGGCGGCGUUUUUUUAACAUGUACGUGUGUAUAGGUAGUGAUCGUUUUUACGCCUUUUUAUCUUAUCUAAAUACAUUCGCGUAUCGAUAACCGUUAAUAAUAUGUAAGUAGAUAACCAAUAAAAUGGCGAAAAAUGGUCGACAAAAAUAAAAACGAAAUCAUAUUAUGCGCGCACCGACGACGCCGAAAAUCGACUCGCGUCGAAUUGCGUUUUUUUUUUUCUUCAUCUCGCGGUACCCCUUUCAAUGGACCCGUGAAACUAAAUUCAAAAGGCUGAAUGGCGAUACGGGUGUUAACGGCCAUAAUGCGAAAUUACAUUGUUCUUAACCUGAGUUUGUUUGGAAUAACGUUUUGUUCCGAUUCGUAUAAUUUGCUCUAAAACGCGCUUUACAGAGAAAACUUUCAUGUCUCAUAGAGCAGGCGUAUUACGAUUAUUUUCACUUAAUUUUUUUUUCUGUAUUUUGGCAGCAAGAAAAAAAUAAUUCGGAUUUUGAAAAUUAUAUAAUUAUAUAAACGUAUAGAUAUUGAUUAUGACGUGUGACCCGAUUACACCGUUCUUAUGAUUUCUUGUGAUUUUCGAAUAAUUCCAAAGUUAUGAAUAAAAGUGACAUUUUAAAUUUAUAAUCGGUUAAUGCUCAGCUUUGGGACUUGGAGUCGUAUCACAAGAAAAAAAAAAAAAAAAAAAACUUAAAAUUAUCGAACAGAACAAAACUCGUUCGAGACGUUCGAUCUCUUUACGUGUUACGCCUAUGCGUGUCUCUCUGUGUGCGUAUUACCACUUCAUCCGUUUUUUUUUUUAUCCUCAAAAUAUGCGCCCGUAACGGAUUGCGUACCCGUGCGCUUUUGAACCGUCGGGGCUAGCCGCCACUGUGUUUACUGGGUACCCGUCUGCAAGUAAUUUAU